AGUUUGAUUAUGGCUCAGAUUGAACGCUGGCGGGAUGCUUUACACAUGCAAGUCGAAACGGCAGCACGGACUUCGGUCUGGUGGCGAGUGGCGAACGGGUGAGUAAUGUAUCGGAACGUGCUCAGUAGCGGGGGAUAACUACGCGAAAGCAGAAGUACACCGCAUACGCCCUUCGGGGAAAGCGGGGGGACCUUCGGGGCCUCGCACUAUUAGAGCGGCCGAUAUCGGAUUAGCUAGUUGGUGGGGUAACGGCUCACCAAGGCGACGAUCCAGCUGGUUUGAGAGGACGACUAGCCACACUGGGACUGGAGACACGGCCCAGGACUCCGGCGGGAGGCAGCAGUGGGGAAUUUGACAAUAAUGGGGGAACCCCGAUCCAGCCAUCCCGCGUGUGCGAUGAAGGCCUUCGGGUUGUAAAGCACUUGGCAGUGAAAGAAACGGCACGGGACAAUACCCCGUGCAACUGACGUACCUGCAGAAUAAGCACCGGCUAACUACGUGCCAGCAGCCGCGGUAAUACGUAGGGUGCAAGCGUUAAUCGGAAUUAUCAGCGUAAAGCGUGCGCAGGCGGUUCGGAAAGAAAGAUGUGAAAUCCCAGAGCUUAACUUCUUUGGAACCGCAUUUUUAACUACCGAGCUAGAGCUGUAGAGGGAGGUGGAAUUCGGGCGCGUAGUGCAGUGAAAUGCGUAGAUAUGCGGAGGAACACCGAUGGCGAAGGCAGCCUCCUGGGAUAACACUGACGCUCAUGCACGAAAGCGUGGGGAGCAACAGGAUUAGAUACCCCUGGUAGGUCCACGCCCUAAACGAUGUCAACCAGCCGUUGGGGCUUCGCCUUGGUAGCGCAGCUAACGCGUGAAGCUGGACCGCCCGGGGAGUACGGUCGCAAGAUUAAAACCUCAAAGGAAUUGACGGGGGACCCGUACGCGGUGGAUGAUGCGGAUUAAUUCGAUGCAACGCGAAAACCUUACCUACCCUUGACAUGUUCCAAAUCCCGAAGAGAUUUGGGAGUGCUCGCAAGAGAACCGAACACAGGUGCUGCAUGGCUGUCGUCAGCUCGUGUCGUGAGAUGUUAAGAAGUUAAGUCCCGCAACGAGCGCGUAAACUCCCUUGUCAUUAGUUGCUACGAAAGGGCACUCUAAUGAGACUGCUGGUGACAAACCGAGGAAGGUGGGAUGACGUCAAGUCCUCAUGGCCCUUAUGGGUAGGCUUCACACGUCAUACAAUGGUCGGGACAGAGGGGUCACAACCAGUGGGGAGCUAAUCCCAGAAACCUGAUCGUAGUCCGGGAUCGCAGUCUGCAACUCGACUGCGUGAAGUCGGAAUCAAGCAAUCGCGGAUCAGCAUGUCGCGGUGAAUACGUUCCCGGUCUUGUACACACUGCCCGUCACACCAUGGGAGUGGGUUUUACCAGAAGUAGUUAGCUCAACCGUAAGGAGGGCGAUUACUUAGGAUUCAUGACUGGGGUGAAGUCGUAACAAGGUAGC
rnacentral:rRNA from 1 species